rnacentral:rRNA from 1 species
CUGACGCAGCGACGCCGUGUGUGGGAUGAAGGCUCUCGGGUUGUAAACCACUGUCAGGAGGGACGAAUACUCGGCUUCAAAUAGUUGACCGAGGGUGACGGUACCUCCAAAGGAAGCACCGGCUAACUCCGUGCCAGCAGCCGCGGUAACACGGAGGGUGCGAGCGUUGUCCGGAUUCACUGGGCGUAAAGCGCGCGUAGGCGGCUUUGUAAGUCAUUGUGAAAUCCCGGGGCUCAACUCCGGGGCUGCAGGUGAUACUGCAGAGCUAGAGCUCGGUAGAGGCAAGUGGAAUUCCCGGUGUAGCGGUGGAAUGCGUAGAUAUCGGGAAGAACACCAGUGGCGAAGGCGGCUUGCUGGGCCGAUGCUGACGCUGAGGUGCGAAAGCGUGGGGAGCAAACAGGAUUAUAUACCCUGGUAGUCCACGCCGUAAACGAUGGGUACUAGGCGUCCGGGGGAGCGACCCCUUUCGGUGCCGCCCUAACGCACUAAUUAACCCCCCCUGGGGAGUACGGCCGCAAGGGUUGAAAACUCCAAACGAAUUGGACCGG